rnacentral:rRNA from 1 species
AAUCAACGCUGGCGGCGUGCCUCAGACAUGCAAGUCGAACGCGAAACCUUCCUUCGGGAGGGGAGUAGAGUGGCGCACGGGUGAGUAACACGUAGGUAAUUUGCCUUCGGGUGGGGAAGUAACAGCCGGAAACGGCUGCUAAUACCGCAUAAUGCAGCGGCUCGACAUCGAGACAGUUGUUAAAGCGGGGGAUUCGCAAGAACCUCGCGCCUGAAGAGAAGCCUGCGGCAGAUUAGCUAGUUGGUAGGGUAAUGGCCUACCAAGGCGACGAUCUGUAACCGGCCUGAGAGGGCGGUCGGUCACACUGACACUGACAUACGGGUCAGACUCCUACGGGAGGCAGCAGUCGGGAAUUUUGGGCAAUGGGCGAAAGCCUGACCCAGCAACGCCGCGUGAAGGAUGAAAUCCCUCGGGAUGUAAACUUCGUAAGAACAGGAAGAAUAAGUGGGGACAACUACCCCCAUGAUGACGGUACUGUUUGUAAGCUCCGGCUAACUCCGUGCCAGCC